UCAAUUAGGACUCUCCUAGCUAGAGUCCUAACAAACCCGCCCUCUUCAAAUCAGCCUUGUCCUCAAGGCUGAGAUUCCAUGAACUCAGGGAACCGGGUCUUCAGCUCCUCAUAUGGUUCCCAUGUGGUGUCUUCAGUGGUAGAUUAUUCCAAUGCACUGGUACUUCAGUAGAGGGAUGUCGGCGACGCAUCACGAUCCUACGAUCGAGGAUGGCUUGUGGUUGGGCUUGAAUAACUCCAUCCUCAGUUGUGUUGGGCAGUUGGAU
rnacentral:lncRNA from 1 species